rnacentral:rRNA from 11 species
UCUCAUCCUGGGGCUGGAGCAGGUCCCAAGGGUUUGACUGUUCGUCAAUUAAAGCGGUACGCGAGCUGGGUUCAGAACGUCGUGAGACAGUUCGGUCCCUAUCCGUCGCGGGCGUAGGAAAUUUGAGAGGAGCUGUCCUUAGUACGAGAGGACCGGGAUGGACGCACCGCUGGUGUACCAGUUGUUCCGCCAGGAGCACAGCUGGGUAGCUAUGUGCGGAAGGGAUAAGCGCU